rnacentral:rRNA from 1 species
AUUGAACGCUGGCGGCAUGCUUUACACAUGCAAGUCGAACGGUAGAGGGGGCAACCCCUUGAGAGUGGCGAACGGGUGAGUAAUGCAUCGGAACGUGCCCAGUCGUGGGGGAUAACGCAGCGAAAGCUGUGCUAAUACCGCAUACGAUCUCUGGAUGAAAGCGGGGGACCGAAAGGCCUCGCGCGAUUGGAGCGGCCGAUGUCAGAUUAGGUAGUUGGUGGGGUAAAGGCUCACCAAGCCAACGAUCUGUAGCUGGUCUGAGAGGACGACCAGCCACACUGGGACUGAGACACGGCCCAGACUCCUACGGGAGGCAGCAGUGGGGAAUUUUGGACAAUGGGCGCAAGCCUGGUCCAGCAAUUCCGCGUGCAGGAAGAAGGCCUUCGGGUUGUAAACUGCCUUUGUACGGAACGAAAAGGUCUGGGUUAAUACCCUGGGCACAUGACGGUACCGUAAGAAUAAGCACCGGCUAACUACGUGCCAGCCGCCGCAGUAA